rnacentral:rRNA from 1 species
GUCCACGCCCUAAACGAUGAUGACUAGUUGUUGGAGGAGUUAAAUCCUUUAGUAACGCAGCUAACGCGUGAAGUCAUCCGCCUGGGGAGUACGGUCGCAAGAUUAAAACUCAAAGGAAUUGACGGGGCCCGCACAAGCGGUGGAUGAUGUGGUUUAAUUCGAUGCAACGCGAAAAACCUUACCUACCCUUGACAUGCUAGGAACGCCGCAGAAAUGUGGCGGUGCCCGAAAGGGAACCUAGACACAGGUGCUGCAUGGCUGUCGU